rnacentral:rRNA from 1 species
AUUGAACGCUGGCGGCAGGCCUAACACAUGCAAGUCGAGCGCGUGGCGGACGGGUGAGUAAUGCUUGGGAAUCUAGCUUAUGGAGGGGGAUAAAUACGGGGAACAGUAGCUAAUACAGCGUACCCUAGGAUAAGCCCAAGUGGGAUUAGGUAGUUGGUGAGGUAAAGGCUCACCAAGACGACGAUCUCUAGCUGGUCUGAGAGGAUGACCAGCCACACUGGGACUGAGACACGGCCCAGACUCCUACGGGAGGCAGCAGUGGGGAAUAUUGCGCAAUGGGGGCAACCUGACACAGCCAUGUCGCGUGUGUGAAGAAGGCCUUCGGGUUGUAAAGUUCUUUCGGUAGGGAGGCGUUAACUACAGAAGAAGCACCGGCUAACUCCGUGCCAGCAGCCGCGGUAAUUC